UACGGGGGGCGCAAGCGUUGUUCGGAUUUACUGGGCGUAAAGGGCGCGUAGGCGGCCACCGCAAGUCAAUUGUGAAAUCUCCGGGCUUAACUCGGAAAGGUCAACUGAUACUGCGGGGCUAGAGUGCGGAAGGGGCAACUGGAAUUCUCGGUGUAGCGGUGAAAUGCGUAGAUAUCGAGAGGAACACCUGCGGCGAAGGCGGGUUGCUGGGCCGACACUGACGCUGAUGCGCGAAAGCCAGGGGAGCGAACAGG
rnacentral:rRNA from 1 species